AUUGAACGCUGGCGGCAGGCUUAACACAUGCAAGUCGAGCGGGGUGAUGGUGCUUGCACUAUCACUUAGCGGCGGACGGGUGAGUAAUGCUUAGGAAUCUGCCUAUUAGUGGGGGACAACAUCUCGAAAGGGAUGCUAAUACCGCAUACGUCCUACGGGAGAAAGCAGGGGAUCACUUGUGACCUUGCGCUAAUAGAUGAGCCUAAGUCGGAUUAGCUAGUUGGUGGGGUAAAGGCCUACCAAGGCGACGAUCCGUAGCGGGUCUGAGAGGAUGAGCCGCCACACUGGGAAUGAGACACGGCCCAGACUCCUACGGGAGGCAGCAGUGGGGAAUAUUGGACAAUGGGGGGGACCCUGAUCCAGCCAUGCCGCGUGUGCGAAGAAGGCCUUAUGGUUGUAAAGCACUUUAAGCGAGGAGGAGGCUCUUUUGGUUAAUACCCAAGAUGAGUGGACAUUACUCGCAGAAUAAGCACCGGCUAACUCUGUGCCAGCAGCCGCGGUAA
rnacentral:rRNA from 1 species